rnacentral:rRNA from 1 species
GCGAAAGCGUGGGGAGCAAACGGGAUUAGAUACCCCGGUAGUCCACGCCGUAAACGAUGUCUACUAGCCGUUGGAGGACUUGAUCCUUUAGUGGCGCAGCUAACGCGAUAAGUAGACCGCCUGGGGAGUACGGUCGCAAGAUUAAAACUCAAAUGAAUUGACGGGGGCCCGCACAAGCGGUGGAGCAUGUGGUUUAAGUCGAAGCAACGCGAAGAACCUUACCUACUCUUGACAUCCAGUGAACUUUUGAGAGAUCAAUUGGUGCCUUCGGGAACACUGAGACAGGUGCUGCAUGGCUGUCGUCAGCUCGUGUUGUGAAAUGUUGGGUUAAGUCCCGUAACGAGCGCAACCCUUGUCCUUAGUUACCAUCAUUAAGUUGGGGACUCUAAGGAGACUGCCGGUGACAAACCGGAGGAAGGCGGGGACGACGUCAAGUCAUCAUGGCCCUUACGAGUAGGGCUACACACGUGCUACAAUGGCAUGUACAAAGGGUUGCCAAGCCGCGAGGUGGGGCUAAUCCCAUAAAGCAUGUCGUAGUCCGGAUUGGAGUCUGCAACUCGACUCCAUGAAGUCGGAAUCGCUAGUAAUCGUGAAUCAGAAUGUCACGGUGAAUACGUUCCCGGGCCUUGUACACACCGCCCGUCACACCAUGGGAGUGGGUUGCUCCAGAAGUAGAUAGCUUAACCUUCGGGAGGGCGUUUACCACGGAGUGAUUCAUGACUGGGGUGAAGUCGUAACAAGGUAACCGUA